UACAGAGGUCUCAAGCGUUGUUCGGAUUCAUUGGGCGUAAAGGGUGCGUAGGCGGCGCGGUAAGUCGGGUGUGAAAUCUCGGGGCUUAACUCCGAAACUGCAUUCGAUACUGCCGUGCUUGAGGACUGGAGAGGAGACUGGAAUUUACGGUGUAGCGGUGAAAUGCGUAGAUAUCGUAAGGAAGACCAGUGGCGAAGGCGGGUCUCUGGACAGGUCCUGACGCUGAGGCACGAAGGCCAGGGGAGCAAACGGG
rnacentral:rRNA from 1 species